ACUCAUCCUUUUGGUGUUUUAAAAAAUUGGAAGGAUACAAAUAAAAUGAACAUUGCUCUUGGCAAGGAUGACACGCAUUAAAAAAAAAAAAAUAACCAACGCUUUU